AUACCCAGCGCCUCAUAGUGACUCCACUCUCUGACCUUGUGAAAGGGUCCAUACAAGGUGCAUGAAUACUAUAGUGAUGGUGGUGGGGGCUGAUCCUGCCUGUGGAGUAUCAGGGAAGGCUGCAUGGAAGAGGCGAUCUUUGAGUUUCGAUGUAAAGGGCAAGCAGCUGGAGGGAAUGGCUUGUGCAGGGAAUGGCUCUGAGGCCUGGACAGCACAGCAGGAAACAGCACAGCACGGGCCACGACGGGUCACGUGGUGCAGCCUGACCCGAGGGGACGGGAAGUGGAAACUAGCCGUGGAUCCGCAAGGAGAGGGAAGACAGUGACAGGCUCUGGCCAAUCCCCAUGUUCUGCAACUCCGCAUCCCUGAGUCAUCAUCCCCCUUCCCCAGGGCCACCCCCAAGAGUCAGAGGUGCCCCAGUCCUUGUGGAAGGCACCCGGAG